UACGUAGGGUGCGAGCGUUAAUCGGAAUUACUGGGCGUAAAGCGUGCGCAGGCGGUUUUGUAAGCCAGAUGUGAAAUCCCCGGGCUUAACCUGGGAAUGGCAUUUGGGACUGCAAGGCUGGAGUGCGGCAGAGGAGACUGGAAUUCCUGGUGUAGCAGUGAAAUGCGUAGAUAUCAGGAGGAACACCGAUGGCGAAGGCAGGUCUCUGGGCUGACACUGACGCUCAUGCACGAAAGCGUGGGGAGCAAACGGG
rnacentral:rRNA from 1 species